UCCACCAAAACACAAAACUGCAACAUUCAA
rnacentral:piRNA from 1 species